GGUGUCUGACCUGCACUGUGGCUGUUGCCUUGCCUACAUGUCUCUCCGGUUUUAGUACUGCAGCCGAUGGAUGGGAAAAUGUUUGGCGAAGGUCUAACACUUCUGGGUGAUAGGUUUCCACUGAUCAGUGAGGACGGUUGAUGAUGACAAUUGAACGACUGAAUCCGUCCACUGACAGAAUUAAAGAGACCCGAAGAAUUGUGCUGGAGGCAAAAGUACUUGGUGUGUCAAUUCUUCAGGACACUCAUCAACAAUGGCAGUCACUACUGCAUGCUCACACUACAGUUUCCUUUGGUUGUGAGAGGCACAUAGGAAGGUUGAGCUGCGGAGGUGAACUUGAUGAUUAAGAGGGUCUGUACAAUGUUGUUUGUUGAUGUAAUCUAGUGUAAUUGUUAUUGAGGGCAUGUGAAGUAAUGUUGUAUGUGUUUUUGGCACAUUUUAGAAGGCCUUUACUUGCUGAAAUUAUUGAAUAGAAAUUUGUGAAAUGGAAAAACUA